rnacentral:rRNA from 1 species
UACGUAGGUGGCAAGCGUUGUUCGGAAUUAUUGGGCGUAAAGGGCGCGUAGGCGGUUUGUUAAGUCAGCUGUGAAAGCCCGGGGCUCAACCCCGGAGGGUCAGCUGAUACUGGCAGACUAGAGUACAGAAGAGGUAACUGGAAUUCCGGGUGUAGCGGUGAAAUGCGUAGAUAUCGGGAGGAACACCUGAGGCGAAGGCGGGUUACUGGGCUGAUACUGACGCUGAUGCGCGAAAGCCAGGGGAGCAAACGGG